rnacentral:rRNA from 1 species
AUUGAACGCUGGCGGCAUGCCUUACACAUGCAAGUCGAACGGUAACAGGUUAAGCUGACGAGUGGCGAACGGGUGAGUAAUAUAUCGGAACGUGCCCAGUCGUGGGGGAUAACGUAGCGAAAGCUACGCUAAUACCGCAUACGAUCUACGGAUGAAAGCGGGGGAUCGCAAGACCUCGCGCGAUUGGAGCGGCCGAUAUCAGAUUAGGUUGUUGGUGAGGUAAAAGCUCACCAAGCCUGCGAUCUGUAGCUGGUCUGAGAGGACGACCAGCCACACUGGAACUGAGACACGGUCCAGACUCCUACGGGAGGCAGCAGUGGGGAAUUUUGGACAAUGGACGCAAGUCUGAUCCAGCAAUGCCGCGUGCAGGACGAAGGCCUUCGGGUUGUAAACUGCUUUUGUACGGAACGAAACGGUGAGCUCUAAUACAGUUUGCUAAUGACGGUACCGUAAGAAUAAGCACCGGAUAACUACGUGCCAGCAGCCGCGGUAAUAC